GACGAACGCUGGCGGCGUGCUUAACACAUGCAAGUCGAACGGAAAGGCCCUGCUUUUGUGGGGUGCUCGAGUGGCGAACGGGUGAGUAACACGUGAGUAACCUGCCCUUGACUUUGGGAUAACUUCAGGAAACUGGGGCUAAUACCGGAUAGGAGCUCCUGCUGCAUGGUGGGGGUUGGAAAGUUUCGGCGGUUGGGGAUGGACUCGCGGCUUAUCAGCUUGUUGGUGGGGUAGUGGCUUACCAAGGCUUUGACGGGUAGCCGGCCUGAGAGGGUGACCGGCCACCUUGGGACUGCGAUACGGCCCAGAAUCCUACGGGAGGCAGUAGUGGGGAAUAUUGCACAAUGGGCGGAAGCCUGAUGCAGCAACGCCGCGUGCGGGAUGACGGCCUUCGGGUUGUAAACCGCUUUCGCCUGUGCCGAAGCGUGAGUGACGGUAAUGGGUAAAGAAGCACCGGCUAACUACGUG
rnacentral:rRNA from 1 species